AUGGAGACGGCCGGCAUCCGCGCGGCGGCAUGGGUUGUGGGCAAGGCACUGAGCCCACUGUCCGGCGGCGUGUUGGAGUCGUGGGCGGCGAGCACCAAGCUCGGGUCUAACAUGCAGGACCUAAAGCUGGAACUGUUGCACGCGCAGGCGAUGUUGAACAAUGUCCGCGGCAGGGAGAUCCACAACCCCGCCCUGGCUGAGAUGCUGGACAUGCUGCGGCAACUGGCGUACGUGGCCGACGACGUGCUGGACGAGCUCGACUACUUCCGCAUCCAGGAUGAGCUCGACGGCACCUACCAUGCCGCCGACGCGCAUGCCGCUGGCUGGGUCCGUGACCUCGCCCUCAACGCUCGCCACACGGCCAGGGCUUGUGUGAAUACACUCAAUGUCGGUAAACACCUCUCUUGCUUCUCCUCGUCAGCGUCUGUCAAUCGUCAUGCUCAACCACCAAAACUGAAGUUUGAUAGGGUCGAAAUGUCAACAAGGAUAUCGGACCUCACAGAGCAGCUGAAGCCCGUAUGUGCUAGGGUCUCCAACAUUCUCAAUCUAGAGUUACUCAACUCUAGCAACACCCCUUUCCAAGAUAUUGCGAUGAACAGACCCAAAACCACCCCACAAAUUAUAGAGCCUAAGUUAUAUGGGAGGGAUCUCCAUAAAAAUGCUGUCCUACAGGAAAUUGCUAAUAGUGAAUGCUCUAAACUUACGGUGCUUCCAAUCAUUGGCCCCGGUGGUAUCGGGAAGACAACUUUCACACAACACAUAUAUGAACAAAUGAAGAGCAAUUUCCAUGUUCCCAUUUGGAUAUGUGUCUCUCUCGAUUUUAGUGCAAAUAGGUUGGCAAAAGAUAUAGUUCAAAAGAUCCCCAACGUUGAAAAUGAAAACAAAAAUUGUUGCGAUGAAGAGCUAAUCAAACAAAGAUUAAAAGGAAAGAGGGUUUUACUUGUAUUAGAUGAUGUAUGGCCACAUCAUGAGAGUGAGUGGAAAAAAGUAAUAGCUCUAUUUAAAGAAGAGGAUGCAAAAGGAAACAUGGUUAUAGUAACCACUCGGAUAUGUGAGGUAGCAGACACGGUUAAGACAACUAAAUGCUCGCUAGAAUUGGAGCAUCUGUGCUCGGUAGAUAUUAUGUCUUUCUUCGAAGAGUGUGUAUUUGGUGACCAAAAACCAUGGGUUGACUAUCCAGAACUAGUUGACGUUGGGAGUAAUAUAGUGGAAAAGCUGAAGGGUUCCCCUCUUGCAGCCAGGACGGUUGGUAGAUUACUAAGAAAUAAACUUACAUUGAACCACUGGAGAAGCGUUCUGGAAAGUAAAGAAUGGCAAUCACAAAAGGAUGAUAAUGACAUCAUGCCAGCUUUAAAGCUCAGCUAUGAUUAUCUUCCUUUCUAUCUACAACGAUGUUUUUAUUUUUGUGCUUUGUUUCCUGAAGAUUACGAGUUUGGUAGUGAGGAAUUGAUUCACUUGUGGAUUGGGCUAGAAAUUCUGCAUUCAUGUGAUCGGAACAAAAAAAAACUUGAAGAUGUUGGACUGUGCUAUUUAAACGACUUGGUCAAUCAUGGUUUUUUCAAAAUGAAUAAAACAAAAAACGGAAGUACUUCUUAUGUUAUUCAUGACCUACUGCACGAUUUGGCGGUGAACGUUUCGUCGGAUGAGUGUCUAUACAUUUAUAUGUCUAAUGCGAGGGACAUAGAAAUUCCGCCAUCCCUACGCCACUUGUCUAUCAUCAUAGAUAACACAAAUGUCGAGGAUGGGGUGUCCUUUGAAGACUACAAUGGAAAUUUGAGUGCACUUGGUGAAAGAUUGAAAGUUGAAAACCUACGCACCUUUAUGCUAUUUGGAGAUGACCAUGAAAGUUUCGCCAAAACUUUUGCUGGUUUGAUUAGGGAAGCUAGAGCGCUUCGCGUAAUUUUUUUGUCCGGGGUCUCGUAUAAUUUGGAGGAUAUAUUGCACAAGCAUUCAAAACUUGUACAUCUUCGCUACCUAAGGGUCAGGCUGGAGUAUUCAUGCCAUCACUUUUGUUUAUCAAGUUCAUUGUCUAGAUUGUAUCAUUUAGAGGUGAUUGAUCUACAAGAUCAGUAUUGUGACGUUAGGUCAACAAGACAUAUGAGAAACCUUGUAAAAUUGCGUCAUUUCCUUAUCUCAAAAGAAAAGCAUAAUCUUCAUUCUGAUAUUCAUGGGGUGGGAAAACUGAAAUUCCUCCAGGAAUUAAGGGAAUUUAGAGUGGGAAAGGAGGGUGAGGGUUUUGAGCUGAGUCAGCUCAAGCCAUUGAAAGAGAUCGGAGGGUUACUUGGCAUUUAUAAUCUUGAAAAUGUGCAAACAAAAGAGGAAGCAAGAGAAGCAAAACUGUUACAGAAGAACAACUUAAGAGAACUCAUAUUAGAAUGGGAUGUCAAGCGAUCCAAUAAGGAUCCUGUAAAAGAAGAAAAUGUUCUUGCAAAUCUUGUACCACAUGGCAAUAUUCGAGAGUUGUGCAUUAGAGGGCAUGGGGGCACUAACUGCCCAGCAUGGCUAUGUGAGAAUCUCUCGGUAGAAUGUUUGGAAUCUCUUUGUCUAGAUGGCAUAUCUUGGAAAAACCUUCCGCCACUAGGAGAGAUGUGGAUGGCUAAUGGCCUUGGAGGAGAGUAUCAGGGUUGUAGUGUCUCAUCUCCAACCUUUCAUAAUUUGAAAAGUCUAGAAUUAAGUAACAUAUCAAGUUUGACAAAAUGGGUCGGGAGUGGCACUUGUCCUUUAUUUUCUCACUUGGAAGGGCUAAAAAUUAGAAAUUUCUCUGAACUCAUCGAGUUGCCGUUUUCACAUCCUCCUACUUGCUGUCAAGCACAGCGGAAUGAGAAAAUAAGCUGGUUUCCUAAACUAUGGAAGCUUGUCAUUGUAGAAUGCCCGAAACUAGUGUCGUUCCCUCCUAUCCCUUGGCGGACUGGUGCUAUGUGCUCUGCUUACAUAGCACGAGUUGGGUCGUGUUUCGAGGAGCUGAUUUACCCGAGACGUGAAUUGGAAUUAAAUCUGCAGAUUGAGGGAAGAGGUGGCCAGGGUGAUGUAUUCUGGAGCGGGUUGAAUUUCUCUAAUCUAACUGAUCUAGAAGAGUUGCGUAUGAAAAAAAUUCCUUUCCUGCCAUUGAAACACCUACGAGCGCUAACAUCUCUGAGGAAGAUCGAGAUAGAGGGUGCGAGCAGUUUCUUGUUGCCUGUUGAAGGUGCCGAUGAUGGCAUAUACAGGCUUCCAGUUGAACACCUCGAGAUUACUGACUGUGAUGUUAGUGGGAAAGAGUUGACACUGGUGCUCUCUUUCCUUCCCAACCUCUCAAUACUGAGAAUAGAAAACUGUGAUAAUAUAGCUGGGUUGGGUGUGGCAUUAUAUGCAGAAACUGUUUCUGGAGAGCAGCCGGAGCAAGAGACUAGAGUCGGAGAGGAGGAAAUCAUAACAGCAGCGGCAGCGGAAGGUCUGCUUCUCUUGCCUCCCCACCUACAGGAGUUGUGGAUUUUCGGUUGCAAAAAUAUGAGCAUACUUUCCGAUCCAAUUUACGACAACGACCAAAAAUCAGCAGGCAGUGGAGAAGGAGGUGGAGGGGGACUCCAGCGUCUCCGCUCCCUCCGCUGCUUGUAUGUAAGCACAUGCCCCAAGUUCCUCUCCUCCUAUUGGUCAUCAUCCUCCCCCUCUGUUUUCCCUUUCCCGACCUGCCUGCAACGCCUGACCCUACGUGGCGCGAAGUACAUGAAGACACUGCAAGCCCUCUCAAACCUCAGCUCUCUCACCAAGUGUGAGUUAUUGUUUGAAUUGAGGGGUUUAGAUGGUUUGUGGCCUCUCCUCAGCCACGGCCGCCUUAAAAAAUUAGCAAUCAAUUCUGGCUCGGUAUAUGCAUGGGAUUCCUCGAUUCUGACUCCAAUUUGCAGCAACCCUCUUCAUCUGCAAACGGGGAGCAACACAGGAUUCCUUGCUGCGCCCAUGUGCAGCCUCCUCUCUUUCACCCUCACCAAAUUGGACCUCAGUUUGGAUCAGGAGAUGAAGUGCUUUACAAAGGAGCAAGAGGAGGCCCUCCAGCUCCUCACCUCCCUCCAGGAGCUGCAAUUUUCAGCCUCCGAAAACGAGCGGCACUGCUACCUCUCGAAGCUGCAGUGUCUCCCUGCAGGGCUAGACAAGCUCAUCAACCUCAAGAGACUAAUGAUCAAUUGUUGUUCAUCCAUCCGGUCGCUGCCCAGCCUUCCGAGCUCUCUGCAGGAAUUAGUGAUUGACAACUGUUAUGCACUCCAGUCGCUGCCAAACAGCCUCCCGAGUUCUCUGGAAAUAUUGAGCAUCUACGGCUGUCAAGCCAUCAAGUCGCUGCCAGAGAGCCUCCCGAGUUCUCUGAAAAAAUUGAAGAUCUCCGGCUGUUGGGCCAUCAAGUCGCUGCCCAAGGACGGCCUUCCAAGUUCAAUGCUAGAGUUAGAUGUCAACCUUGGCUUGGACAGCGACAACUUAAGAAAGGAGUGCCGCAAGCUAAAAGGAACCAUUCCGAUAGUCAAAGUCAUCAAUUAA
rnacentral:rRNA from 1 species